GCCCAACAGCUAGCCCACCCUUACAAAUUCAACACUUACAUAUAAAUAAACCCACAUACACACUUAACCAUAAAAACAAACCAUUUUUCCACUCAAGUAUAGGCGAUAGAAAAAGAUCUAGGCGCGAUAGAAAAAGUACCGCAAGGGAACGCUGAAAGAGAAAUGAAAAAACCCAGUAAAGCACAAAAAAGCAGAGAUUCUUCCUCGUACCUUUUGCAUCAUGUUUUAGCUAGAGCCCUUCAAGCAAAAAGCACUUUAGUUUGAGUACCCGAAACUGGGUGAGCUACUCCAAGACAGCCUAAUAAAUAGGGCUAACCCGUCUCUGUGGCAAAAGAGUGGGGAGAGCUUUGAGUAGAGGUGACAAACCUACCGAACCCAGUCAUAGCUGGUUACCUGAGAAACGAAUAGAAGUUCAGCCCCUCAAUUUCUUACACCCCGACUGACACGUCUACAUACAGGCACAAAGAAACCCAGGGAGUUAGUCAAAGGGGGUACAGCCCCUUUGAAACAAGACACAACUUUAACAGGUGGUUAAGGAUCAAAUUCAAUAAAGG
rnacentral:rRNA from 1 species